ensembl:lncRNA
GUAAGUUGGAUGGCAUGGUAGGUUGGAUGGUUGUGGUUGGUAGGUAGGUAAGUUGGGUGGUAGGAAGGUAGGUAGGUAGUUUGGUUGGUUGAAUGGACAGUUGGUUGGUUGCUAGGAAAGUAGGUAGGUAGGUAAGUUGGUUGGUUGGUUGGUUGGUUGGUUGGUAGGAAAGUUGGUUGGUUGGUUGGUAGGAAGGUAGGUAGGUAGGUAGGUUGGCUGGUUGGUAGGAAAGUAGGUAGGUAGGUAGGUAGGUAGGUAGGUAGGUUGGUUGGUUGGUAGGAAAGUAGGUAGGUAGGUAGGUAGGUUGGUUGGUUGGUUGGUAGGAAAGUAGGUAGGUAGGUAGGUAGGUUGGUUGGUUGGUAGGAAAGUAGGUAGGUAGGUAAGUUGGAUGGUAGGGUAGGUUGGUUGGUUGGUUGGUUGGUUGGUAGGUAGGUAAAUUGGUUGGUUGGAAGGUAUGUACUUCUAUUCUGAUUUAUCCUUUCCUUGCAUAACCGAGGAAUCGUACAUCUUUUAUGAAGCAUGUCAGGAAAAAGCUUUGCAGUUACAUUUUUACAUGACACAUCCCACACACAUCCCACACACACACACACUUUCUGUAUUUCCUACAGGGCAUAUGAAGACACAGACACACUGAAACAGAUUCACAAAGUAAAACCUGAUUAAAGGCAUAACGCAGAAUAAUUGAUGACCUGAGCUCAAAAAAGCAAAGCAGUCCAGAAGGUUCAGUAUGUUCAAUACGGAUUACAGAUUAUAAUCCUCAAAUACUAUAAUCCCUCUUUUAUUGUAUCAUUCCCUAAACCCUUUCAUCCCUUUCAUUUUUUUGUGCCCUUGUUCUGGCAAGGUCAGUCUUGCACUUCCUUCCUGAAAGUUUAUGUUAAUGGUGGCCAUGGCUUUGCAUGCCGUUUGCAUCACCGGCCACAGGAUAUGACACGUGUGGCUUGAAGGAACAAAUAAGACAUAGAUGUCUGAAUGGGGUGUCAAUUAUUUUGCACAGCUUUUCUAGGAAGAAAGCAUAUUGUGGGCGUUUGCAUUCGUUAAUUCAAUAACGACUGUGUACUGGUCGCUGGAGAUUAUUUGACGCAUGUCUGCCCAUUGCAUUUGUUUAUCUGAUUAUAAAUAAUUCAAUUAGCCUGGUGUAUUUGCACACUGAAGGUUUUCCAGCAUGGUUCUUCAACACAGAAACUCUUAUUAUGUUUGAUAUUAUUCGCCUGGUGGAUAUAUGAUUUAUUCCUCAGCUUGCUUGUGUGUUGAUUUGGCUGAUUAAUGAUUAAUAGAACUUCCACCUAGUGAUACACAACUGCUGUGGAGAAUUUCUUUAAAGGCUGAGCACAUGGGAGGUUUGCUAAUUUGAUCAUUUUGUUGACUAUGGGGCUAAAAUAUUGCCUUGUUAAAAAAAGAGUACAUUAAAGGAGGAAGCCAUGAUGGGCAUCAUGAAUCACUUUACUGAUUUGAUUGACUAAUUCUGUUGAUUAUGUUAAUAAUAUUACUUUGGUCAAGAAUUGUGUGUGGGGGUGUGUGUGUGUGUGUGUGUGUGUGUGUGUGUAGUACUGAUGGGUUACUUUUGCAAUCUGAAAUCAUUCCACGAAUCUCUUUCAGUUUUGAUUCAUUUGACUCACCACUCCAGAACCAUUGUGAAAAGACAGGAAUGAUUCUUUUGCAACGAUUCAGGGUGAAUCAAUUCAUGAGAAUGAAUGAAUCCGUUUUUUUUUUUGUUGUUGUUGUUUUUUUUUUAAACAUAUAAACUAAAUGAAUCAAGUGAUGGGAGUCAUGAGUCCCUUCAGUGGUUUGAUUAGCUGAUUCUGCUGAUUAUAGAAGGAAUUUAUUACUUUGAUCAAGACGCUCGUUGUUAAUGUGCGUGUCAUUUUGCUCGAGUUCAUUAACGGAUGAUGUGAGUUAUUAUAAUUCACUUUGAACUGCCUGUUCAACCAAUGAACUCUUUUCAAUUUGGAUUCAUUUGAUUCGCCAUUCCAGAAGCACUGUGUCAAGGCAGGAAUGAUUCUUUUGCAACGACUUGAUGUGAAUCGUGAAUCAAUUCACAACAAUUAAUUAAUCAAAUAGUGGGGUUUUUUGUUUGUUUGUUUGUUUGUUUGUUU